CCUACGGGAGGCAGCAGUGAGGAAUAUUGGUCAAUGGACGAGAGUCUGAACCAGCCAAGUAGCGUGAAGGAUGACUGCCCGAUGGGUUGUAAACUUCUUGUAUAAAGGAAUAAAACGAGGCACGUGUGCCUGUUUGCAUGUACUUUAUGAAUAAGGAUCGGCUAACUCCGUGCCAGCAGCCGCGGUAAUACGGAGGAUCCGAGCGUUAUCCGGAUUUAUUGGGUUUAAAGGGAGCGUAGAGGGGUGGUUAAGUCAGUUGGGAAAGUUUGCGGCUCAACCGUAAAAUUGCAAUUGAUACUGGCAGUCUUGCGUACAGUUGCGGUCGGCGGAAUUCGUGGUGUAGCGG
rnacentral:rRNA from 1 species